rnacentral:rRNA from 1 species
UACGGGGGGGGCAAGCGUUGUUCGGAAUUACUGGGCGUAAAGGGUCUGUAGGUGGCUUGCUAAGUCAGACGUGAAAUCCCUCAGCUUAACUGGGGAACUGCGUCUGAGACUGGCGAGCUUGAGGGCAGGAGAGGAACGCGGAAUUCCAGGUGUAGCGGUGAAAUGCGUAGAUAUCUGGAGGAACACCGGUGGCGAAGGCGGCGUUCUGGACUGCAUCUGACACUGAGAGACGAAAGCCAGGGGAGCAAAC